AUCGCUGACUGACUGCUUCAAUCUUAUCCCCAAUCGGCGGCCUGCGUGUGGCCCUUGCCCGGCGGCGGCGACCUGCGCACAGGCCUUCCCCGGCGGCGGCGGCGGCCGUACCCCGGCGGCGGCAGCCUGGACGCGGCCCUUUCUCGACCGGCCAUCCACGUGCGGCUCUUCCCUGGCUGGCGGCGGCCUGAGCGCGGCCCUCCCUCGACCGGCCAUCCGCUGAUUGGAGCUCCAGCCAGGGCCUCGUCGCGCUGGCUGUCACGACCUAGGCCUCGGUCCGCAUAGGGCUCGCUGGCCAAGGUCUCGUCGCGUAGGGUCUCGGCGUCCUAGGCCUCGGUCUACCUAGGGGCUCGCCGGGCAUACGCCCACCGCAUAGGGGCUUGCCGGUGCGCCCUGCGCCAGGCAUUAGGACCAACAUCGGCCACUCAACUGGCGGCCAAUACGUCAACGAACAACACAGCCAAGGUGGGAGCUGGAACUUUGCAACACCUUUCUAGCCCUCUUAAUGCUGAAGCUUUGGCUGCGAUGCAAGGUUGGAAACCUGCUUUACAAUAGGGGAUGACUCUUUACAACAGGGGAGCAAUCACCAAUCCGAUUAACCUUCAGUGUGCCAUCAGAUGUUUAGAUUAAUCAAUUGCAUGGUGGUGUGUAUCAUGACUCUGAAAAGUUGAAGACCUGAGCAGGGUGCUAAUAAGUGCUUUAGACAUUUCACAUUUUUUGUAAGAUUGUUACGUAUCACCUUGAGUGCGACUUUGAGAAACUGAAUCAGGGUCAGUUGGGAUGUGAAGAAUUGGUACGAGUAUCUUAAGCCGUGUUGCAGUCACUUUUCACACAACCAUGUAUUUCGUGUUACAGAAAUGGUAGUACUGUCUUGUAUAUAAUCAA